GACGAACGCUGGCGGCGUGCUUAACACAUGCAAGUCGAGCGGUAAGGCCCUUUCGGGGGUACGACGAGCGGCGAACGGGUGAGUAACACGUGGGUGACCUGCCCUCAGCUCUGGGAUAAGCCUGGGAAACCGGGUCUAAUACCGGAUAUGACUCCAUGACGCAUGUUGUGGGGUGGAAAGCCUUGUGCGGCUGAGGAUGGGCCCGCGGCCUAUCAGCUUGUUGGUGGGGUGAUGGCCUACCAAGGCGACGACGGGUAGCCGGCCUGAGAGGGCGACCGGCCACACUGGGACUGAGACACGGCCCAGACUCCUACGGGAGGGCAGCAGUGGGGAAGUCUUGCGCAAUGGGCGAAAGCCUGACGCAGCGACGCCGCGUGAGGGAUGACGGCCU
rnacentral:rRNA from 1 species